GGGUGGCAGCAGCCCUCUCUCUAUGUGGGUCUCACUUUGGCACUUACGAGUUUUCUCUCGGUAUUUUCUGCCUCAAACCCAAUUUCAGAAGAGAAAUCAAGGUAUCUAAGAGAAGGUGGCAAAGCUUUGGGAUUUCUUCAUUUGCUGUGAAAACAAAGGAAUAGAAUCCAGACAUCCUGAGACGAGCUUCAUUUAAUGAGAUUCAGAAAAUCCCCAAAGACUGCCAAGUUCCGGGGUAUGACGAAGAGAGGCCACCUCGAGGAGAAAAGCUGGGGACAGGGUCUCCUUCUCUGUGGAGCCCUGGGGGAAAGAGCAGGCAGAGAGUGGAGGUGGCCCUGCCAUCACCUAGGUGUCAAAGGCAGCAGGGGACCCCUUCCUCCGCUCAGUUCUGCACCCCCUGUCCCCACAGCUCAGGGCCCUACCAGGCCCAAUCCAACGAGCCAGGAUUUCCCAAACGAGGAACUCCUACCCUCACACCACUAAACUGCGGAUGUUCCAGAACAAGGAAGGGAUCUCCUGGCUAGCCAUUUCACCCCCCCAAGAGGAGAGAGGCGAAGCUGAGGGAGGGCCCGCCACCAGCAAAGCAGUUGGGCCCGUUUCAGGUUUCAAAAGAACAGUCGUGGCAAAUGGUGGUUGAUCCACAUCUACCCCAGCUCGUUUCUAGAACGUGGCAAAAUAUCAGCCGUGAGCCCACUGACAAGCGUGGGGUCACCUGCCGCUCGGUUCUAACUUCCGCAGACUGGCACGGAGGCUGAACCAGGGCCAGAGGCCGGCAGCUCCAGCAAGGAGCACGGCCAGCUCUUUCACCUCCGGCCCAGCCGCUUGGGGCUCGGCAGCAGCUGAGGUGAGGGCCCGGCCGCCACUGAUGCCCAGGUGAAUGGACGCGGCCCCGCCAGGUCCCGGGCCCCGACCUUGACGCCGCGUGACAGGGACUGCGGCGCAGGGCGAUGAGGGGUGACAGCCGCGGCCACCGUGACCCCGGCCUUCUGGACCCGAGCUCGGCUUCGGGGCGGCAGCCCCAGCAGGAGCAGCCAGAGCGUCCAGCGGAGCAGCAGCAAUGGGGAAGGAGUGGCAGCGAGGCAGGGGACUGGCCACUGAUGAAGAGAGUGAGUCACCUGGGACCUCCAGAAUUCCAGGGGAUUGGGCUGAGGGGCGUCACAGGCUGUGGGGCCCAGGCUGACCCCCAAGGUGGUCCAGUCUGGGAAAGCAGGAUUCAAGACAGACAAGAACAAAACCUGCUCACAAACCAAUGUAACCCUGCAGGAUGGACAGAGAAGCGGUGACGGUCAGGAGAGUCAGGCCAGCUUUCACCUCUGCCGGGCUCUGAGGGACAGGACGUGGGUUGGAUAGGCAGUGGGGACCAGCCUGGUGCAAGAGGUGGCAUGAUGGCACCGGGUGCCCGAGGUGGGAGGCGAUGGAAGGGGUGGGCUUUCCAACCUCUCUUUGUGUUUGUGUGCAGCCCCCUGGGGGAGGGAGGGAUCAGCAGGACGUGUUUCCCCUUCGCCUGCUCUCCCUUCUUCCCUCCCUCUCUCCCUUCAUUUUUCCUUCCUCCCUCCUUCCUACUCUUCUUCCCUCCCUUCUUUCCCUCUCUUCUCUUCCUCCCUCCCUUCCUCCCUUCCUUCUUUCCCUUCUACUCCUUCUUUUCCUUUCUUUCAGCAAAGGUUUAUUGGGCACCAGCUUGUGUCAGGCACUGUUCCGGGCCCUGGAGAAAUAGUAAUCGAUAAAACAGAAGGUCCUGCUUUUAUGUGACUUAUGUGAAGUGGGGGCAUCAGAUAAUUGAAAAGGAAACUAACAACACAUAUACACACGUACAUGUAAAUGUACACCGACACACAGACCUAAUUGUGUGUAGCAACAAGUGUUAUGAAGAAAAUAAAGCAGGGGAAGGGCUGGAGUGUCACAGGACAAAGACUCUGAGGAGAGAGGGGUAGAGGUGCAGGCCCUAUGAAGAUGUAAGGGAAGGUAAGUCCAACAGAUGGAAGAGGGAGGAAGGGCAAAGGCCCUGAGGCAAGAAUGUGCAUGGUCAUCUCCAUCCUGCCCUACCCUCUAACACUAUCUUCCCCAACAGAGGAGAAACUGUAUACAGAGUAGAAAACAGCAACGUAAACAGGUUCUCAGGGAGAGCAGAGGGUGAAGGUGUAAGGUGUGUAGCGGGGACCCCGCAGCAAUUCCCGGGGUGUCUAAGAAGUGUCCAUAGGCUCAUAGUUGUAGUUGUAUCUGAUUACUGGUCAUGUCCUUCACUCAAUGGAGAAUCUGGACAUAGGGUCACAGUCAGUGAGGCACCGCCAAGCCCCCCUG